rnacentral:rRNA from 1 species
AGAACAACUCUCGGCAACGGAUAUCUCGGCUCUCGCAUCGAUGAAGAACGUAGUGAAAAGCGAUACUUGGUGUGAAUUGCAGAAUCCCGUGAACCAUCGAGUCUUUGAACGCAAGUUGCGCCCGAAGCCUUCUGGCCGAGGGCACGUCUGUCUGGGCGUCACGC